rnacentral:rRNA from 1 species
GACGAACGCUGGCGGCGUGCCUAACACAUGCAAGUCGAGCGGUCCAGCACUCAAGCUUGCUUGGGUGCUGGGUAGCGGCGAACGGGUGAGUAACGCGUGGGUGACCUGCCCGGGAGACUGGGAUAACAGUUCGAAAGGGCUGCUAAUACCGGAUGAUCCCCAGCACUCAACCGAAGGAAUUAGGCUUGGUUUUAGAGGAAGCUUUCUUGUAGGUUCAAUGAGGUUUUUUCUAUGGUACAGCCUGGUUUUUUGGGUUGAGUGCUGGGGCAAAGCGUUUAGCGCUCCUGGAUGGGCCCGCGUCCCAUUAGCUAGUUGGUGGGGUAAUGGCCUACCAAGGCGGCGAUGGGUAGCCGGUCUGAGAGGAUGGUCGGCCACACUGGGACUGAGACACGGCCCAGACUCCUACGGGAGGCAGCAGUGGGGAAUUUUGCGCAAUGGGGGGAACCCUGACGCAGCGACGCCGCGUGGGUGAUGAAGGCCUUCGGGUUGUAAAGCCCUGUUGGGGGGGAAGAUAAUGACGGUACCCCCUGAGAAGCCC